ensembl:lncRNA
GCUGACUCCAGGUGGAGCUCUGUCUGGCCUGGAUCCCCCCUGUCUUUGGUCACAGGAGUAGAGUAAGGAGGUCAACCUGGUCUUCUCUAGGGAAAAGCUGGUCAUCUCUUAUCUUGCCCACUGCCCUCACCUGCCAUAGUGACAACGGCAAGUGGACAACUGUGAGGAUGGCCCUAAGUUGACUGAUGCUCAUGCUUGAUUCUUGGGGAAGAUCAACCAAGAGCAGGCACAAAGACUUAGGUGGAUGGCACCUUAGCGUUAGUCUCUCAGUUGUAUCUGACUGUCUGUGACAUCAUGCACGAUAGCACGCCAGGCUCCUCUGUCCAUGGGAUUCUCCAGGCAAGAAUACUGGAGUGGGUAGCCAUGCCCUCCUCCAGGGGAUCUUCCUGGCCCAGGGAUCAAACCUGGGUCUCCUUCAUGGUCAGCAGAUUCUUUCCUGUCUGCUGCUGCUAAGUUGCUUCAGUUGUGUCCAACUCUGUGAGACCCCAUAGAUGGCAGCCCCCCAGGCUCCUCUGUCCCUGGGAUUCUCCAGGCAAGAACACUGGAGUGGGUUGCCAUUUCCUUCUCCAAUGCAUGAAAGUGAAAAGUGAAAGUGAAGUCUCUCAGUCGUGUCCGAAUCUUCGCGACCCCAUGGACUGCAGCCUACCAGGCUCCUCCGUCCAUGGGAUUUUCCAGGCAAGAGUACUGGAGUGGGUUGCCAUUAGUUACUGUCUGAGCCACCUUAAUAAUAACAUGAAAGAGCAGGGGUCCUUCAUCUCCCUCUAAGGUGCCCCAAACUGACACACUCACCUGCUCUACAACCACUGGUGGACGUUUGUGCAGAAAGUGCAAGUCUCUCAGUUGUGUCUGACUCUUUGUGACCCCAUGGACUAUACAGUCCAUGGAGUUCUCCAGGACAGAAUACUGGAGUGGGUAGCCUUUCCCUUCUCCAGGGGAAUCUUCCCAACAGGAGCAGGACUUUACCGCAUGUUGGUCACGACCCAGAACACAUGGUUCUGGAAGCCCCGCGGCCAGGUGGCAUCAGCAGAUGGUUGGAAUGGUUUCUGAGCUGGGAGGUGGCUGGCUCUGGACUCCUGUGGCUGCACCAGGAACCAGAGGCAGAAGAGGCUCAGCUAAGCAUAUCACCGGCCGGCCGGAGAGACGGCGACAGACAUCGGCCUCAUCCAUGCCAGUCUGGCUGUUACUCCGCCAAUUGAUUGUCUGAUUAAAACUCGGCAUGCUCACUUGAAAUGGGACAUUGACCCCCCAAAGACAUACUGUUCAGAAGGCGUGUUAGGGUCAGGGCUGGCCUGGAGCCCCACCGUUUCUGACAACAGGGUCUGUUCUGUCCUCUGAACUUUCCAUAAAUAGAAAUCUGUCCUUUUUGGACUUUAGCCUUUAUUUGUUUGAAAUGAACUGGAAACACCUGCUGUGUCUUUUCCAUCAUCAUCACCAGCUCGUUUGCACAACACCUUAGGGUUUGGAAUGGCUCUUGCAGGGAUGACCCCUGCUGGGGUUAACAGCUCCACGAUGCAGGUUGUUAGGGCCUCAAUGGAAAGAGGUGGAAUCCAAG